UCUGCAGCCUCACUUUGAUCCUGCUGCUGAGGCAGGCUAAAGCUCACCUUCACCCUGGACCUGCUCAUGAUACGCAGAUGAGAAUAGCAGCACAUGCCAGAGUUCCCCUGCCAUACUUUCUUAACUUAAAGUAACACGGAAAAAUGAUUUCAUGUUUAACACCAGGCUCUCACAGCAAUAACCUUGCUUCAGUCUAAAUUUCCUUUCAUUAGUAUGUGGUCUCUAUCAAAUCUGUAAAGGCUGACUCAGUCUUCCUUCAAAUAGCAAUCCACCAUUGGUCAAAACAAAGAAAACAACUGAUAUGUGGUACCCAACGCCAGCUGAUACAUCUACAAUACAACUCAACAUCUAAGAUUUCCAACAUUAUGGCAGAGGGAAAGAAAGAAAGAAUGUAACAGUCAGAGGACCAGGACAUCUGCUCCAAGAAAUGUACAUCCAUCAACUCUCAACAAUAUGGUCAUCUAGAUAAUAACUGAACACCAGUGGACAAUCCAAGGUAAAUGAGGGGAAAUCUCACAAGGCUCUACUCCUAGACGAAGAGGUAUAAAAAAUUAAAGGCUUCCAAGAGAAGGAGAAUCAAUCUUUUCUAGGAAUGGUACCCCUAAAGGGUUGUUUAGUCUCAAAUUUUCAAACCUAAUCUAUAGACACAUGAGCAAACUAAAUGGAUUCAUCAGGCUAUUUGUAUGUGUGUGUGGGUUGCUCUCUGUGUGUAGCAAUAAUAGUUCAAAAGGAAGAGAGUGAGUGGAAGGGAGAAUGGGAGAGCAGUUAGAGAUAACACACACACACACACACACUACUUGUGUGCAAGAUUCUAAAAACAAUUUUUAAGAAGUCUUUUAAUUAAAAAAAGGCCUCUGAAAAGUAAGUGUCCAUCAAUACAAUGUCUUGGGCUUUUAUUAAUCUCCUGAUUUUUGUAAAAGAUUUCUGUAUUUUCUUCUUCUUUGUUUUUCUAAGAAACUAAGCUUACUUUAUCCUAAUUUACUUACAAGUGAAAAUAUCACAUAGCAGGCUUAAGAAGGCAUUCAAACACUCGUGUAGUCCAAAAUUCUCUGUGAAUAUACAGUUAGAAUGGGUUUUCCAGGGCAAUACAACUUUACUUGGGUUUUACAUACCUGUUAUCCGUGAUGUAUUUAUUUUCUGUGUUUCUGGGUACUUCAGUAUCCCCCAAAUUCAAUUCAUAUGUUCAUAGUUGAUCAGUGUUGUAGGAUGUCAUGCAGGUACAAGAUAAAAUGAGGCCUGUCAUUGGACGAGAAGGAAGGAUGGGCAGGAGAAAAGUUUUUGACAGAGGAGAAGACUGGAGCAAGUCAGAGGAAGCAGUGGAGAGAACAUGGAGACUGAUGUUGAGAUUCCUCUCUGCAUACUUACAGGUUCUUAUGAAUAUUCUUAAGGGAUGGAUGUGUACAGGGCUUUGUAUGUCUAGGUUGGCAAUUAUAUCUUAUCAAUUAGAGAGGUUAUUUUGUUGUGUGUACUUUCAUGUGAAAAUUUAAGUUCAAGAGAGUAUGUAGUGGCUGGAGACACUAGGCUGCCAUGGAAAUUGGGAUUUAUAUUAUUGACAUGGUGGCAACAUGCCUUGGGAACUAGAUGGGUAGACAUUGUUGCCAGGCUCAGAGAGAAGCCAUUGGCAAUGUGAUAUGGGGUGGAACAGAGCGGGUGAGAGGCUUUGCUGACUGAGAUGAAGAUAUCUACCAGAUAUCUUGGGGCACUACGGUGCUGGAACUAGUGUGGGAUAAACGACAACAUUUUUUUUUGUAAUUUUACAGCAACAGUAUAUUUACUCCUUUGUUACUUUCCUUUUUCUUUGCUGGAUGUCGCCAUACCACAGUCAGAGUAAUAAUUUUCAACCUUAUGUCAAAUCAUAUUUCUUCAUUGAAAAUUAUUUACUAGAUUCUAUUUAUGAUCAUCAAGAAAACUGACUCCUACGUAUGUAAGCCAAGCACACCAAGCCUCUAUCUUGUGUACUGGGUGCUAUUUCACUUAACUGGACUUCUAUCUUUGAGUAUGUAUAUUAUUAAGAGUUCAGCUGCAAAAGUUUUUCUUUCCCUUUCCUUGGCAUUUGGAAUCAUCAAAGUGACUAUAUAGUUUUACAUUUUUCCAUAUGUUUAUACUAUUUAUCACCACAUACAAUUAUUUGACCUUGCCUUUAAAAUUAACUAUCUCCAUGUUAGAAUCAUUACAGCCCUUUAAAGAUGAUUUUUUAAAAAAAGUCUUUAGGUAUACUUUUGUUUGUAACUAAAAGAAUUCCUAACAUUAGGGAAUAUUUGGUGAAACAGUUUGGGAAAAUAUGACCCUUAACCCUGCCAAGAAUGAGGAGUUUCUAUAAUAGUCUAUUCUAUGACUCUUCAAUCUAAGUGAAGCCUCAUUGUUAUGUAACACAUUGGUAUUUAUCACACUUAGAAAUAGACACAAUGUAUUAGUUUCUGAGCAGAGAAUAUUUCUGCACAGCCUCUGGGUAAUUAGUUAAGGAGUAUUACCAUGGCAACUGGGAAAUAUGAUCUCCAUGAGGAACCUCAGGAAUUGCUAGACAACCAAGGGCAUCUUCCAAGACAACAAUGGUCACCUAUCCUCUUCACUCAAAUCAUAUAAAUUAAAUUUUUAAAACAGUCCAAUUUUUAAUUGUAGGCAUAUGUUCACCAAAAAUCAAUAGAAGGUACAGAGAUGUCCUACAUGCACCUACACAAUAAUUACACUUGGCCAAUAUCCUUCAUGAGAGUGCUGUAUUCCUUAGGACUGAUGAUCCAUUACUAUUGAAACCCAAGUUUUGUGGUUUACAUAAUGAAGUAAAUAGUUCCUGUAUAUCUUAUAAGGUUACACAUCGGUCUGCAAAACUCCUUUUUUUUUUCAGAUAAAGUAACACUGUUUCUAGGUGUGAUUGAAUUGUAGGGAAGCUUGUCAAUCAACUGCAGAUGUCAAGAAAAGGUAGCCACAAAGUUGGGAGCAGCACAGAGGUGUGAGGAAUUUUACUGUUCUUAUAUUCAAAUUGUUUUGAAAGCUACGUAUUUUAAGCUACCGCACAAAUUUAUGAAAUAAGUGAUACAUUAGUACAGACAACACACACAGCAUGUAGUAAAUCCUUGAAAAGUGGAAUGGUGAAGGGAAAAGUAACCAUAGGCUAGCAUUUUAUUUACAUAGUAAAGAUACAUAUUAGGAGUUCAACAACUGUAGUUCCCUCCCACCCCGUCUGUUUUAGGGGAUGUGACAUGUGUAUUUUACAGCCAAUAAUUGUAGCAGUUGUUUUUCUUGUUAUUAUGACAAAAUACUAGGAAUGAAGCAAAUGAGGGAUUAUUUCAUAUUAGAGUUUGAGGAGAAACUACAUACAAUGGCAGAAGAGGAUACUGAGGGGACUGACUGAUCCCAUUGCAGCAAUCAGGAAGAUGAUCAGACACACAUUAGUGCUUACUAUCUCCUCUCUGAUCAGUCUGAUACUCCAGUUCCAGAGAUGCUCCCAUUCCUAUGGGCAGUGGAUCCUCUGGAAACACCACCACUUGUCUCCUCUGGGAAUCUAAGUGCAGUCUAGUUAAGAAGCACGAUUAAGUGUCAUAGUACAAUCUGAACAAACAUUACACUAAACCAAACCUUAAUGAGCAGAAGAGAACCUUUCAGAGUCCCAUCCAAUUCAAUAGAAAACCCAGCUGUUUUCAGAUAGAAAGUAUUUGAGGCAAAUGUCUCAUAUACACGACAUGCUUAAAGGGCUGACAGCUCUCCUGCACACAAUAUACGCCUAGUGGUGUUCAGUAAAUAAGAAUGGCAUUGAAGAGAGCAUCUAUGCUUAGAAAUAAUGAGAACAUAGUAGAAAGUAAUUUGAUAUUUAUGUGGGUAAUUAUGGUCAUUUCAAGAUUACACAAAUCAGAUCAGCUUGAGUUACUCAUACAUAAUAUGAAUAAGUAUAUAUAUAUAUGUAUAUAUAUAUAUAUCUUAAAUUCUUAGGAUUUAUUUUAAAAACACACAUGCAAGCCAUUUAGAGAUAUAAACUGUAAAAGAAAACAAUAACAAAAACAUUUAUACAAUACUACUCAGAUACUAAGAAAGAGGAUAUCCUGAGUUUUGUAGGCAAGUAAAUGGAACUAGAAAAUAUUAUCCUGAGUGAGCUAACUCAGAUCCAAAAGGACAUGCAUGGUAUGUUCUCACUAAAAAGUGGAUAUUAGCUCAAAAAUGUACAGAAUACCAAGGAUAAAGUCCAUACAAAUCAAAAAGGUAAGUAAACUGAAGGGCCUUAAUUCCACUUGGGAGAGAAAAGAAAGCAAUCACAGGAGGGGGAAGGAGGGAGGGAGAGUCUUGGGUUGGAAAGAGGACAGGGAGAAGAGGGGAACAUGAUCAGGUAUUAGGUGGCAGAAAAGACCUGAAGCCCUGAAGGCCAGCACUAAGAAUGGAAACAGGCGACCUCAGGAGGUAGGGGGUGGGAUCCUCCAGAAUGUACCAGAGACCUGUGAGGUGAGAGACUCUCAGUACUCAAAGGGAGGGACCUUAGAUGAAAUGCCUUACAGUAGGGAAAGGGAAAUUGUAGAGCCAACUUCAGCAAAAAGAUAGGGCAUCAAGUGAGUGAUGGAGUUGCCACUGCCUCACUGUCAAAAACUCUGGCCCAUAAUUGUUCUUGUCUGAAAGAACUGCAGGGAAAAAAUGGAGAAGAUCCUGAAGGAAAGGAAGUCCAAUGACAGGCCCAGGGUCAGAAUGAGUUCAGGAGAAGCCCCAAGUCUUGACAUUACUACUGAGGCUGUGGAGGGCUUGCAAAAAGGAUCUAUCAUGACUGGCCUCCAAAGACCCAACAAGCAGCUGAAAGAGUUCGAUGCAGAUACACCUAACUAAUUAAUGGACAGAAGCUGCUGACCCCAGUGGUUGAAUUAGGGAAAAGCUGGAAGAAGUUGAGGAGGAGGGUAAACCUGUAGGUGGACCAGUAGUGUCAAUUAAUCUGGAUCCCUGAGAUCUCUCAGAUACUGCACCACAGACCAGGCAGCAUAAACCAGUUGAUAUGAGAGGCUCCUAAAAAUACACAGCAGAGGACUGCAGGGUCUGGGUUCAGUCAGAGAGGAUACACUUAACCCUCAAGAGACUGGAGUCCCUAGGGAGUAGAGAGGUCAAGUGGGGUUGGGGAUGUGUGGGAUGAGGUCAUCCUCUUGGAGAUUGGGUAGUGGCAGAGGGAGGAGGUAUGGGAUAUGGAACAGUCAGAAGGUGGACUGGGAGGAGGAUAAAAUUGGGAGUAUAAAUAAAAGUUAAAUAAA